rnacentral:rRNA from 1 species
GACGGAGGAUGCAAGCGUUAUCCGGAAUUAUUGGGCGUAAAGCGUCCGCAGGUGGCUGUUCAAGUCUGCUGUCAAAGCGCAGAGCUUAACUCUGUACAGGCGGUGGAAACUGAAGAGCUAGAGUAUGGUAGGGGCAGAGGGAAUUCCUGGUGUAGCGGUGAAAUGCGUAGAUAUCAGGAAGAACAUCGGUGGCGAAGGCGCUCUGCUGGACCAUAACUGACACUCAGGGACGAAAGCUAGGGGAGCGAAUGGG